rnacentral:rRNA from 1 species
AUACGGAGGGUGCAAGCGUUAAUCGGAAUUACUGGGCGUAAAGCGUACGUAGGCGGUUCGUUAAGUUAGAUGUGAAAGCCCCGGGCUUAACCUGGGAACUGCAUUUAAAACUGGCGGACUAGAGUUGAGUAGAGGGGAGUGGAAUUUCAGGUGUAGCGGUGAAAUGCGUAGAGAUCUGAAGGAACACCAGUGGCGAAGGCGACUCCCUGGACUCGAACUGACGCUGAGGUACGAAAGCGUGGGUAGCAAACGGGAUUAGAAACCCUUGUAGUCC